GAUGAACGCUGGCGGCGUGCCUAAUACAUGCAAGUCGAGCGAACAGAUGAGGAGCUUGCUCCUCUGACGUUAGCGGCGGACGGGUGAGUAACACGUGGAUAACCUACCUAUAAGACUGGGAUAACUUCGGGAAACCGGAGCUAAUACCGGAUAAUAUAUUGAACCGCAUGGUUCAAUAGUGAAAGACGGUUUUGCUGUCACUUAUAGAUGGAUCCGCGCCGCAUUAGCUAGUUGGUAAGGUAACGGCUUACCAAGGCAACGAUGCGUAGCCGACCUGAGAGGGUGAUCGGCCAAACUGGAACUGAGACACGGUCCAGACUCCUACGGGAGGCAGCAGUAGGGAAUCUUCCGCAAUGGGCGAAAGCCUGACGGAGCAACGCCGCGUGAGUGAUGAAGGUCUUCGGAUCGUAAAACUCUGUUAUUAGGGAAGAACAAAUGUGUAAGUAACUAUGCCCGUCUUGACGGUACCUAAUCAGAAAGCCACGGCUAACUACGUG
rnacentral:rRNA from 1 species